CCAAGCAUGGCCUAUCGAAAUUGGCCAUUCAUAGAAUUAUUCAGUACCGGGUUGGAAACGGAAAGGAUGAACUUGAUAUGAGCAAGUGUUAAGUCAGCAGGAAACAACCAUGUGCAUGGGGACAAUGUAAAACGUGCAAUUCAUUUAUGGCAUUCAAUUACACCUAUUACCCAUGAGAAAGCAUGUCCCAAUGCCUAAAGCACGUUUUCAAAAACACUUAAAAAGAAAAUCCAGAAUGAUCUGGAACCUCCUCAUGCGCCUCACAUACUUCUUCUUUCAGCUCACCCUCCUUUAUCCUUUUUGCCGCGCCGGAAUCGCCUCCGGUGGCGGCGGAGGGCUAGUCACAAAAUUUUCCACACCAUCCCCAUUGCCACAACCUGCUCUAAUCAAAACUGGCCUUCACUUUCUAUAAUUCCUCACUAAUUGUCCAAAUCGAGGCCAAAUGAAGCAUGAACCCUAGACUACAGAAUGACGAAUUAGACGGAGGCGAAAAGGAAAUGACAUCCCUCAUGUUAGGGCUCCAAUUACUCACACCAAAGGCUACAAGAUUGCGGCUAAAACAAGGUGAAAUAAUGAGGAAUCCCUACCUGCGGAAUGGUGAAAUAUUCCGGAAUCCGUUGGAAUCGAAUACGACAAUAUUGGUCAAGAAUGUCGAAGCUUCUUCAGGGCUUGACAUUGCUAUCAUAUGGAAUGGAUUAGCUUGGAAUGCAAUAUUGGAGUUUGGCUCAUGUUGUAUUUUUCUGUAACUUGAAGUUGAACUAGAGAUUUAGGAUAGCUAUUGUAAUGUAGUUUGGAACUUUCCUUGUGAUUUUGGAAAUGUAUGGUCUAUGAUAUGUAGAACUUGGAAUUUGUAAUGUACCUUAGAAAUAGAAUAGAUUAAGGAUUGUCAUGUGAACUUGGUUUAGGUAAAAUUGCAUGAUUGGUAUUUGAAAAUGUAUGGUCAGGUAUGGAAUUGAAUGGUUUAUGUUGUAAGUUGGAAUGAAAGUGAAUGUUAUUUGAAAAUGUA